rnacentral:rRNA from 1 species
GAUGAACGCUGGCGGCGUGCCUAAUACAUGCAAGUCGAACGAAACUUCUUUAUCACCGAGUGCUUGCACUCACCGAUAAAGAGUUGAGUGGCGAACGGGUGAGUAACACGUGGGCAACCUGCCCAAAAGAGGGGGAUAACACUUGGAAACAGGUGCUAAUACCGCAUAACCAUAGUUACCGCACGGUAACUAUGUAGAAGGUGGCUAUACUACCGCAUUUGGAUGGGCACGCGGCGCAUUAGCUAGUUGGUAGGGUAAAGGCUUACCAAGGCAAUGAUGCGUAGCCGAAUUGAGAGGUUGAUCGGCCACAUUGGAACUGAGACACGGCCCAAACUCCUACGGGAGGCAGCAGUAGGGAAUCUUGCACAAUGGGCGAAAGCCUGAUGGAGCAACGCCGCGUGGGUGAAGAAGGUCUUCGGAUCGUAAAACCCUGUUGUUAGAGAAGAAGGUGAGUGAGAGUAACUGUUCACGUUUCGACGGUAUCUAACCAGAAAGCCACGGCUAACUACGUG